CACAAAUGAAUAAUGUGAGCAGCGCAGCUGCCCAAGCAGCAUUGGCGAGAGGAAGCGGUAAAGUUGCCAAAAACGGCUUCGAUAACAUAAAAUUAACAGCAAAAAAAUGGCGUUAAUGGUUUUCAUGCCUCAAUUCACCAUUGGGAGAUUCAAUUCACUUUCUCUAUCCUCUACUAGCUUUCUUCAAAGUCGAAUUCCCACUCUUACCCAGCUUCCCAAUUGUGUUACAACUUUCACGUUUCACUGUGACGUUGGUGGCGGAACAAUGUCCGGUAAAGCCAUAUCGAGAAAUUGGGGGUUUAUUAAUAUUCGGUCCAUGUCAUCUAGCUCAUUUGGGUCCCGAUUGGAGGAAAGUGUGAAGAAGACUGUGAUUGAGAAUCCAGUUGUUGUUUACUCCAAAACUUGGUGCUCGUACUCUUCGGAGGUGAAAUCAUUGUUUAAGAGGCUUGGCGUGGAGCCGCUCGUUAUUGAAUUGGACCAAAUGGGUCCCCAAGGACCACAACUGCAGAAGACUCUGGUGAGGUUAACUGGACAACAUACUGUUCCAAAUGUUUUUAUUGGUGGCAAACACAUUGGUGGUUGCACAGAUACUGUCAAGUUACACCGUAAAGGAGAUCUUCGACCAUUGCUAUCAGAAGCUGGUGCCACUAAGAUGCAGAUCUAGCACUGAGCUUAAAAUCACUUUACAGUUUUUCCCCCUCAGCUCCCUUGAGUCCUCCUAGAAUUCAUUGAUACUUUAUGAGAUACGACACUUGUAUCUUUUUCAAGAUGCAACUUUGCUUAUAAAUUCAUUCUGUUAAGUCCUAGCUGUGAUUGAUUUACGACCAGAUAUAGGUGCCACUGCCUACCUUCAGAAAUAAACCAAGUUCUUAAAUAUCAGGUUUCAAGAAUAGAGGAAUAGACAGAUAACAAUAAGCUAAUGUUCUAUAUGUUCGCCAAGUGCAAGAUGGAAAAUGGUUGGACAGGUCCUUUUGUGUAGAAACUAAAAGGUAGACUAGAAGCCGAGUAAAAGCAAGAGAUUGAGCUCUACCAUGGAAGCCAGGGCAGUCUUGCUGCUGAUCUGCAAACCAGUAGAACAUCAGGAGACGAUGAUGUGAGGACCAGUAAGUGUUUAUUUGAUCCAUAGUACUAUACAUUAUAUUGUGACGAACAAGAUUUUAGAUUCUAUUUCUUCAUUACUAUUGUUCAGCGCUGUUCAAUCCUUUAUAGCACAGAUGCUGCAAGUGUAUCAAGAUGUAGACCUGAAGAACAGAUCAUAAUGACUGUCGAGAAAGUGAACUGCAAUAUAUCUCUUUUGUGCUUUUAAUAUGCCAACAUUUCAUUUCGAUCCUGAAGAUUAUCUUUGAUAACAGGAUGUUCCUUGAAGUUCUUAACCUAAGAACUGAGGCUAGGAAAGUCAUAUGCUUCCAUAAUUUUUUCCCACCAGUUCUUAACUCACUUCAUUUUAUAUAUCUGCCAUUCAUUACUA